rnacentral:rRNA from 1 species
CCUACGGGUGGCAGCAGUGAGGAAUAUUGGUCAAUGGCCGUAAGGCUGAACCAGCCAAGUCGCGUGAAGGAAGAAGGAUCUAUGGUUUGUAAACUUCUUUUAUAGGGGAAUAAAGGUAUCCACGUGUGGCUAUUUGCAUGUACCCUAUGAAUAAGCAUCGGCUAACUCCGUGCCAACAGCCGCGGUAAUACGGAGGAUGCGAGCGUUAUCCGGAUUUAUUGGGUUUAAAGGGAGCGUAGAUGGGUUGUUAAGUCAGUUGUGAAAGUUUGGGGCUCAACCGUAAAAUUGCAAUUGAUACUGGCAGUCUUGAGUACAGGUGAGGUAAGCGGAAUGCGUGGUGUAGCGGUGAAAUGCUUAGAUAUCACGAAGAACCCCGAUUGCGAAGGCAGCUUACUAAACUGUGACUGACAUUGAUGCUCGAAAGUGUGGGUAUCAAACAGGAUUAGAUACCCCAGUAGUC